ACGCUAGCUACAGGCUUAACACAUGCAAGUCGAGGGGCAUCAGGAAGAAAGCUUGCUUUCUUUGCUGGCGACCGGCGCACGGGUGAGUAACACGUAUCCAACCUGCCCUUUACUCGGGGAUAGCCUUUCGAAAGAAAGAUUAAUACCCGAUGGCAUAAUGAUUCCGCAUGGUUUCAUUAUUAAAGGAUUCCGGUAAAGGAUGGGGAUGCGUUCCAUUAGGUUGUUGGUGAGGUAACGGCUCACCAAGCCUUCGAUGGAUAGGGGUUCUGAGAGGAAGGUCCCCCACAUUGGAACUGAGACACGGUCCAAACUCCUACGGGAGGCAGCAGUGAGGAAUAUUGGUCAAUGGGCGCUAGCCUGAACCAGCCAAGUAGCGUGAAGGAUGAAGGCUCUAUGGGUCGUAAACUUCUUUUAUAUAAGAAUAAAGUGCAGUAUGUAUACUGUUUUGUAUGUAUUAUAUGAAUAAGGAUCGGCUAACUCCGUGCCAGCAGCCGCGGUAAUACGGAGGAUCCGAGCGUUAUCCGGAUUUAUUGGGUUUAAAGGGAGCGUAGGUGGACUGGUAAGUCAGUUGUGAAAGUUUGCGGCUCAACCGUAAAAUUGCAGUUGAUACUGUCAGUCUUGAGUACAGUAGAGGUGGGCGGAAUUCGUGGUGUAGCGGUGAAAUGCUUAGAUAUCACGAAGAACUCCGAUUGCGAAGGCAGCUCACUGGACUGCAACUGACACUGAUGCUCGAAAGUGUGGGUAUCAAACAGGAUUAGAUACCCUGGUAGUCCACACAGUAAACGAUGAAUACUCGCUGUUUGCGAUAUACAGUAAGCGGCCAAGCGAAAGCAUUAAGUAUUCCACCUGGGGAGUACGCCGGCAACGGUGAAACUCAAAGGAAUUGACGGGGGCCCGCACAAGCGGAGGAACAUGUGGUUUAAUUCGAUGAUACGCGAGGAACCUUACCCGGGCUUAAAUUGCAGUGGAAUGAUGUGGAAACAUGUCAGUGAGCAAUCACCGCUGUGAAGGUGCUGCAUGGUUGUCGUCAGCUCGCGCCGUGAGGUGUCGGCUUAAGUGCCAUAACGAGCGCAACCCUUAUCUUUAGUUACUAACAGGUCAUGCUGAGGACUCUAGAGAGACUGCCGUCGUAAGAUGUGAGGAAGGUGGGGAUGACGUCAAAUCAGCACGGCCCUUACGUCCGGGGCUACACACGUGUUACAAUGGGGGGUACAGAAGGCAGCUAGCGGGUGACCGUAUGCUAAUCCCAAAAUCCUCUAUCAGUUCGGAUCGAAGUCUGCAACCCGACUUCGUGAAGCUGGAUUCGAUAGUAAUCGCGCAUCAGCCACGGCGCGGUGAAUACGUUUCCGGGCCUUGUACACACCGCCCGUCAAGCCAUGGGAGCCGGGGGUACAUGAAGUACGUAACCGCAAGGAUCGUCCUAGGGUAAAACUG
rnacentral:rRNA from 1 species